rnacentral:rRNA from 1 species
UACGUAGGGCGCAAGCGUUGUCCGGAAUUACUGGGCGUAAAGGGCUCGUAGGUGGCCAACUAAGUCAGACGUGAAAUCCCUCGGCUUAACCGGGGAACUGCGUCUGAUACUGGAUGGCUUGAGUUCGGGAGAGGGAUGCGGAAUUCCAGGUGUAGCGGUGAAAUGCGUAGAUAUCUGGAGGAACACCGGUGGCGAAGGCGGCAUCCUGGACCGACACUGACGCUGAGGAGCGAAAGCCAGGGGAGCAAACGGG